GCGGGGGUUGCAGAGUCUGGAGGCAAAAUGCCGGACAAUCAAAUGCGCAGGACUUAAGAUCCUGUCCCUUAGUGGGUCCGAGGGUUCGAAUCCCUCCCCCCGCA
rnacentral:tRNA from 1 species